rnacentral:rRNA from 1 species
UCCGCAGGGGGUCAACUAAGUCUGAUGUGAAAUCCUAUGGCUCAACCAUAGAACUGCAUUGGAAACUGGAUGACUAGAGUAUCGGAGAGGAGAAUGGAAUUCCUAGUGUAGCGGUGGAAUGCGUAGAUAUUAGGAAGAACACCAAGAGCGAAGGCAGUUCUCUGGACGAUCACUGACCCUCAGGGACGAAAGCGUGGGGAGCGAACAGGAUUAGAUACCCUGGUAGUCC